AAUCACCAGGUGGGAAGGAAGCGCUGGGAUGCCUUACGAGGGCAAGAGGCAUGUGCCCGGCUGGUGAUGUUUGUCUUGGGGGCUGAAAUGGUCCUGGCAUGCACGCUCUGUUUACCGCCGUGGUGUCUGGACACUGGAGGGCUUUACAUGUGCCCCUCGGCACCCCUCCCCCACCUUCCACACCCCGAUUUAUUCUUCCUGGGAGGAAAGCAACUUCAACAGCACUGUGUAGAGGAGCAUGCCUGGCUCUGAGAAGUAAAGGAGCUUGCUUGAGGUCAUGUGCCCAUCAUGGCAAUGCAGCAGACUAGAGACAGGCUGGUCAGACACCAUCAGCUUUCCAUGGGCUAAGCCUGGAGUCAGUGGAGGCUCCAUGGAGGAGAUUAUGAUGCUAUUUGAAGAGUCAUGAUGUUUUACGUAAGACCUCUGGGAAUUUUCUGAUGCAUGAAGAACAUAACUGGCUGUUAACUUUAGCUGGAUCAUCUUGAUGUCCAAGAGCCCUGACAGUGAACAGCUCAGUUACGUGUGUGACUGUAUGAGCAGCACAUCUGUUUACUGGAGG
ensembl:lncRNA